UACGAAGGGGACUAGCGUUGUUCGGAAUUACUAGGCGUAAAGCGCACGUAGGCGGAUUUGUAAGUCAGGGGUGAAAUCCCGGGGCUCAACCUCGGAACUGCCUUUGAUACUGCAAAUCUCGAGUCCGAUAGAGGUGGGUGGAAUUCCUAGUGUAGAGGUGAAAUUCGUAGAUAUUAGGAAGAACACCGGUGGCGAAGGCGGCCCACUGGAUCGGUACUGACGCUGAGGUGCGAAAGCGUGGGGAGCAAACAGG
rnacentral:rRNA from 1 species